AUUGAACGCUGGCGGCAUGCUUUACACAUGCAAGUCGGACGGCAGCGGGGUAGUGCUUGCACUACUGCCGGCGAGUGGCGAACGGGUGAGUAAUAUAUUGGAACGUACCGAGUAAUGGGGGAUAACCAAUCGAAAGAUUGGCUAAUACCGCAUACGCUCUGAGGAGGAAAGCAGGGGACCUUCGGGCCUUGCGUUAUUCGAGCGGCCAAUAUCUGAUUAGCUAGUUGGUGGGGUAAAGGCCUACCAAGGCGACGAUCAGUAGCGGGUCUGAGAGGAUGAUCCGCUACACUGCGACUGAAACACGGCCCAGACUCCUACGGGAGGCAGCAGUGGGGAAUUUGGGAAAAUGGGGGCAAUCUUGAUCCAGCCAUGCCGCGUGACUCAGGGAAGCGUUCGGGUUUUAAGGGACUUUUGUUAUGGAUGACACCCUGAGCGGACUAAACCCGUUUUCCCCCCUCCGUCCCUACCUACCCACUCCCUGCUACCCUUCUUGCCCUUUCCCACCUUUAUUCGUUUUUUUACUUUUCGUUUACCUUCACUACCUUUACCCUUCUCCGUCCGCUCUGUCUCCUAGUGCCUGUUGUGCUAUGACCUGUUUGAUCUCCGUCUUUGCUUUCUUGCCUCGUUGCUCUU
rnacentral:rRNA from 1 species